rnacentral:rRNA from 1 species
CGAUGCGGUUCUAUUUUGUUGGUUUCUAGGACCGCCGUAAUGAUUAAUAGGGACAGUCGGGGGCAUCAGUAUUCAAUUGUCAGAGGUGAAAUUCUUGGAUUUAUUGAAGACUAACUACUGCGAAAGCAUUUGUCAAGGAUGUUUUCAUUAAUCAGGAACGAAAGUUAGGGGAUCGAAGACGAUCAGAUACCGUCGUAGUCUUAACCAUAAACUAUGCCGACUAGGGAUCGGACGAUGUUAUUUUUUGACUCGUUCGGCACCUUACGAGAAAUCAAAGUGCUUGGGCUCCAGGGGGAGUAUGGUCGCAAGGCUGAAACUUAAAGAAAUUGACGGAAGGGCACCACCAGGGGUGGAGCCUGCGGCUUAAUUUGACUCAACACGGGGAAACUCACCAGGUCCAGACACAAUGAGGAUUGACAGAUUGAGAGCUCUUUCUUGAUUUUGUGGGUGGUGGUGCAUGGCCGUUCUUAGUUGGUGAAGUGAUUUGUCUGCUUAAUUGCGAUAACGAACGAGACCUUAACCUGCUAAAUAGCCCGUAUUGCUUUGGCAGUACGCUGGCUUCUUAGAGGGACUUUCGGCUCAAGCCGAAGGAAGUUUGAGGCAAUAACAGGUCUGUGAUGCCCUUAGAUGUCCUGGGCUGCACGCGCGUUACACUGACGGAGCCAGCGAGUACUCCCUUGUCCGAAAGGUCCGGGUAAUCUUGUUAAACUCCGUCGUGC